rnacentral:misc_RNA from 1 species
GAUGAAGAACGCAGCGAAAUGCGAUAAGUAAUGUGAAUUGCAGAAUUCAGUGAAUCAUCGAAUCUUUGAACGCACAUUGCGCCCGCCAGUAUUCUGGCGGGCAUGCCUGUCCGAGCGUCAUUUCAACCCUCGAACCCCUCCGGGGGGUCGGCGUUGGGGAUCGGCCCCUCACCGGGCCGCCCCCGAAAUCCAGUGGCGGUCUCGCUGCAGCCUCUCCUGCGCAGUAGUUUGCACACUCGCACCGGGAGCGCGGCGCGGCCACAGCCGUAAAACACCCCAAACUCUGAAAUGUUGACCUCGGAUCAGGUAGGAAUACCCGCUGAACUUAAGCAUAUCAAUAAGCGGAGGA